rnacentral:rRNA from 1 species
GUCGUGAGAUGUUGGGUUAAGUCCCGCAACGAGCGCAACCCUCAUCUUCAGUUGCCAUCGGUUCGGCCGGGCACUCGGGAGAAACUGCCGGUGAUAAGCCGGAGGAAGGUGGGGAUGACGUCAAGUCCUCAUGGCCCUUACGGGCUGGGCUACACACGUGCUACAAUGGUGGUGACAGUGGGAUGCAAGGGGGCGACCCGGAGCCAAUCCUAAAAAGCCACCUCAGUUCGGAUUGUACUCUGCAACUCGAGUGCAUGAAGUUGGAAUCGCUAGUAAUCGCGGAUCAGCAUGCCGCGGUGAAUACGUUCCCGGGCCUUGUACACACCGCCCGUCACACCAUGGGAGUUGGCUUUACCCGAAGGCGCUGCGCUAACCGCAAGGAGGCAGGCGACCACGGUAGGGUCAGCGACUGGGGUGAAGUCGUAACAAGGUAGCCGUAGGGGAACCUGCGGCUGGAUCACCUCCUUU